UACAGAGACUGCAAGCGUUAUUCGGAUUCACUGGGCGUAAAGGGUGCGCAGGCGGCCAAGUGUGUGAGGCGUGAAAGCCCGGGGCUCAACUCCGGAAUUGCCUUUAAGACUGCAUCGCUAGAAUUGUGGAGAGGUAAGUGGAAUUCCGAGUGUAGAGGUGAAAUUCGUAGAUAUUCGGAAGAACACCAGUGGCGAAGGCGACUUACUGGACACAUAUUGACGCUGAGGUGCGAAAGCGUGGGGAGCAAACAGG
rnacentral:rRNA from 1 species